UACCGUGAGGGAAAGGCGAAAAGAACCCCGGCGAGGGGAGUGAAACAGAACCUGAAACCGUGUACGUACAAGCAGUGGGAGCCCCACCACCAAAGCGUUUCGCUUUGCGUGGUGCGCAAAAUGCGUAACGACAGCACGAUUGCGGUUAACGGAGCGUAAGCGACGUUCAACACAAGAAUCAGGCAGUGGAGCGUUUUGGGGUGGGGUGACUGCGUACCUUUUGUAUAAUGGGUCAGCGACUUAUAUUCUGUAGCAAGGUUAACCGAAUAGGGGAGCCGCAGGGAAACCGAGUCUUAACCGGGCGUUAAGUUGCAGGGUAUAGACCCGAAACCCGGUGAUCUAGCCAUGGGCAGGUUGAAGGUUGGGUAACACUAACUGGAGGACCGAACCGACUAAUGUUGAAAAAUUAGCGGAUGACCUGUGGCUGGGGGUGAAAGGCCAAUCAAACCGGGAGAUAGCUGGUUCUCCCCGAAAGCUAUUUAGGUAGCGCCUCGUGAAUUCAUCUCCGGGGGUAGAGCACUGUUUCGGCCAGGGGGCCAUCCCGGCUUACCAACCCGAUGCAAACUGCGAAUACCGGAGAAUGUUAUCACGGGAGACACACGGCGGGUGCUAACGUCCGUCGUGAAGAGGGAAACAACCCAGACCGCCAGCUAAGGUCCCAAAGUCAUGGUUAAGUGGGAAACGAUGUGGGAAGGCCCAGACAGCCAGGAUGUUGGCUUAGAAGCAGCCAUCAUUUAAAGAAAGCGUAAUAGCUCACUGGUCGAGUCGGCCUGCGCGGAAGAUGUAACGGGGCUAAACCAUGCAC
rnacentral:rRNA from 1 species